UACAGAGGUCUCAAGCGUUGUUCGGAUUCAUUGGGCGUAAAGGGUGUGUAGGUGGCGCCGUAAAGUCGGGUGUGAAAUUUCGGAGCUUAACUCCGAAACUGCAUUCGAUACUGCGGUGCUUGAGGACUGGAGAGGAGACUGGAAUUCAUGGUGUAGCAGUGAAAUGCGUAGAGAUCAUGAGGAAGACCAGUGGCGAAGGCGGGUCUCUGGACAGUUCCUGACACUGAGACACGAAGGCCAGGGGAGCAAACGGG
rnacentral:rRNA from 1 species